UACGAAGGGGGCUAGCGUUGUUCGGAAUCACUGGGCGUAAAGCGCACGUAGGCGGAUUGUUAAGUCGGGGGUGAAAUCCUGAGGCUCAACCUCAGAACUGCCUUCGAUACUGGCAAUCUCGAGUCCGGAAGAGGUUGGUGGAACAGCUAGUGUAGAGGUGAAAUUCGUAGAUAUUCGCAAGACACCAGUGGCGAAGGCGGCUCACUGGCCCGGUACUGACGCUGAGGUGCGAAAGCGUGGGGAGCAAACAGG
rnacentral:rRNA from 1 species